rnacentral:tRNA from 1 species
GGAGAGGUGCCUGAGCGGCCGAAAGGGCCACGGUGCUAACGUGGUGACCUCGAAAGGGGUCCGUGGGUUCGAAUCCCACCCUCUCCG